UUCAUUAGAUUUAUGAUUUAUUAAUUGAGUUUCUAAUUUUUUUAAUCUCCUAUGUUUAUGUGAAACAGUGGUAUCUUGGCAGCUGUUGAUAUUAUUGGAGAUUCCACCAUAGUUGGUAUAUUCUACUUUAUUGGAUUUGGGUUCUUCUGCAUCGAAUCACUGCUGAGCAUUUGGGUUCUUCAGCAAGUAUACAUGUACUUCCGCGGAACAGGAAAGGCUGCACAGAUGAAGCGAGAGGCAGCGCGUGGGGCAAUGAGGGCUGCUAUUUAACAAUUAUUAUUAUCCAUACGAUAUCAGAUGCUCAAAUCUUGCUUUAUUUUUUGCGUUCGGCUGUUUGUUCUUAUUAAAAUGGUAUAUAUAUAUAUAUAUAUAUAUUUGUGUCCAUGCUUGUAUUUUUUUUGCUAAUAUACUUGAUAAAUAUGACUGAAUGAAUGGUCAUUUUUGUAUUGUUUAUGAGAAAUAUUUUUGAUGAAGAUGAAUGAUGAUUUUUUAUUGUGAUUU